GAAGUUUCACGAAGAGAAAUGGGGAUAAUGUUCAUCGUGUUUGGGUUAUUGGCUGUCUCUGUUCUGCCGUAUACAUCUGCACAAAAUCAAGAUGAUUGCGGUGAAUACGGCGAGAACCCCUGCAAACAUGGAGGAAAUUGCUACACUGAAUUCGGAUAUAUCCAUUGCGAAUGCCUCGUAAAUUCUUAUGGAAUCCUGUGUGAGGUUUACAUUCCGCCGGGCUCGACAAAUGGACUCGAUACCCUCAAGACAUAGCACCACGAAGAGAUAGCUAGACAAGAAUAUAAUAAUUCAGUAAGGCAAUGGUGUAGCGGUAGCGGGGGCCUCUGGCAUUACUGGGAUGGGCAGUAAUUUUAUUAGAUGGAUCAAGUAUAAAUUGUCGAGGCUACCUACGAGGGGGAACGAGGCAGGAGACUUUAUUUACUUCUUUUCACUUUUCCUUUCCCUUUCUCCCUUUCGUUUGUUGUUGUAUACAUCGUGCCCAUUGCAUCUACUUCAUUGGAGAGAUUUGUUCUUCACAGUCAUGAGAAAGAUAUCAAAUGCGGGAAAUGGGAUACAUGUAUAUAUUAAACCUCUCCAUUUUUUAAUAUUUACCACGUGACAAUGUGGCAGAUCUCUAAUUGGCUCAAAAUACUGAACCAUAACUUGAAUGAUAAUUUUUUUCACGCUGUUUGUUAUAAUUGACAUUGAAUAGAACAUAUCAAACUAGUUUACCCAAUUCACAUGAGCUACAAUGAUGAGACUAAUUGGUCAGGUUUGUUUUCCCCUUCAAUACUGACAUUAUUACAACAUAUUGCUUUUUCUAUUACGGUAAUGGGGUUUGAUCCUUUCAACAAUCCGUCAAUAUGUCAAAACAUCUGGAAUUUAAUAGAAAAUAUACAAGAUAAUACCAACAUUUUCUAAAAAUUUUUGAUUUUUAUAACAUAUUUAUAGUGAGUAUUCUGAAAUUAGAGUGUGGCGAAUGUACACUCUCUCCUUUAACAAUUUUAAUGUGUAUGGUUCAUGGUUCAUAUCCUUGACUUUGAAUCGGGAGGUUGAGGGUUCGAAUCUUUGCCGGAUGCGUACAAUGUACCCUCGGACUAGGCAUUUGAUCAAUACUUGCCUCUCUCGACGUUACUAUGAACAUGGUACAUGUAUAAGGAAAACGAUUACGUGUCGGGUUUUUUUUAACGAAGGCUCAUAUUCACAAGUAUUUCGAUGACACAUAAAUGUGUUAUCAAGCUUUAUUUUUUGUGUACUAUAGCAUAUUUAACUCUACUCUCGAUCUAUUUUUCGUUAUUUCUUGACUUUGACAUAAUCCCCUUGAUCCCUUUUCUUCUUUUUUUCUUCUUCUCAUAUAUUCCUACUUGACCUCUACACUCAGAGAGCAAUAACUCAUUGAUGUCUCGAAUUGAUGUCAUCUUAGGUUUGUCCAUAUUAGAUCACCCUCCCAUCGGUGGGUUGAUUUUUGCUCAUAUGAUACAUAUUUUCACACAUACGGUGAGUUUGUUAGCUCACCCGGUGUGAUGGGGAUGUGCGCAUCUUCGGGUAUACUUGUUGUACUCAUCCAUGCUGUGGUCGAUGCAUCGUUGGGUAGUUGUUCUCUGAGAGUAUUUUGUAAAUAGUUUCAUAUAUUCCAUAUUUGUUGUUGUAUUCAUGAAUCAGUUAUCUUUGUCACAUCA